GACGAACGCUGGCGGCGUGCUUAACACAUGCCAGUCGAACGGAAAGGCCCUGCUUUUGUGGGGUGCUCGAGUGGCGAACGGGUGAGUAACACGUGAGUAACCUGCCCUUGACUUUGGGAUAACUUCAGGAAACUGGGGCUAAUACCGGAUAGGAGCUCCUGCUGCAUGGUGGGGGUUGGAAAGUUUGGGCGGUUGGGGAUGGACUCGCUGGUUAUCAGCUUGUUGGUGGGGUAGUGGCUUACCAAGGCUUUGACGGGUAGCCGGCCUGAGAGGGUGACCGGCCACAUUAGGACUGAGCUACGGCCGGGACUCGUGCGGGAGACAGCAGAGGGGAAUGUUGCACGAUGGACGGAAGCCUGAUGCAGCAACACCGCGUGCGGGAUUGCGGCCUUCGUGUAGAAGGCCGCUUUCGCGUGUGACGAUGCGUGGAUGACGGUAAUGGAUAAAGAAGCACCGGCUAACUACGUG
rnacentral:rRNA from 1 species